GGGCGCUCUAGACUAGUGGAUCCCCCAGAGUUUGAUCCUGGCUCAGGACGAACGCUGGCGGCGCGCCUAACACAUGCAAGUCGAACGGAGCUUGCACUUCUGAAGUUUUCGGAUGGACGAGGUACAAGCUUAGUGGCGAACGGGUGAGUAACACGUGAAGAACCUGCCCUUCAGUGGGGGACAACAGUUGGAAACGACUGCUAAUACCGCAUAAGACCACAGUACCGCAUGGUACAGUGAUCAAAGGAUUUAUUCGCUGAAGGAUGGCUUCGCGUCCGAUUAGGUAGUUGGUGAGGUAACGGCCCACCAAGCCUACGAUCGGUAGCCGGACUGAGAGGUUGAUCGGCCACAUUGGGACUGAGACACGGCCCAGACUCCUACGGGAGGCAGCAGUGGGGAAUAUUGCACAAUGGAGGAAACUCUGAUGCAGCGACGCCGCGUGAGGGAAGAAGGUCUUCGGAUUGUAAACCUCUGUCUUCAGGGACGAUAAUGACGGUACCUGAGGAGGAAGCACCGGCUAACUACGUGCCAGCAGCCGCGGUAAAACGUAGGGUGCAAGCGUUGUCCGGAAUUACUGGGUGUAAAGGGAGCGCAGGCGGGAAGGUAAGUUGAUGUUUAUCUACGGGCUCAACCCGUAUCAGCAUUCAAAACUAUUUUUCUUUGAGUAGUGCAGAGGU
rnacentral:rRNA from 1 species